rnacentral:rRNA from 1 species
CCUACGGGGGACAGCAGUGAGGAAUAGUGGUCAAUGGGCGCGAGCCUGAACCAGCCAAGUCGCGUGAGGGAGGACGGCCCUACGGGUUGUAAACCUCUUUUGCCGGGGAGCAACGGGCGGCACGUGUGGCGCCACGGAGAGUACCCGGAGAAAAAGCAUCGGCGAACUCCGUGCCAGCAGCCGCGGUAAUACGGAGGAUGCGAGCGUUAGCCGGAUUUAUGGGGUUUAAAGGGGGCGUAGGCGGAUUGUUAAGUCAGGGGUCAAAUUUCGGGGCUCACCCCCUUCCCGCCAUUGAAACUGGCGCUCUUGCGUGGACGAGACGUCUGCGGCAUGCGUGGUGUAGCGG